GGCUUGCUGGACCUUGUCUUCUAACCAGCUUAAAACCAGCAUGAAGCAGGUUUAUUUACUCCAGUGAAGCUGAUCAGUGGGAAAUCGUCAUGGCAUUGCGAUGAAGACAAAUAGGUUCUAAAGAGAGAAGUCUGAAAUUUUCACUUGUGUACUGAAGUUUCAAGAGACUAAAGGAUGUUGCUGGCUUUCUUAAAACAAGACUAAUGCACUUGGAAGCUGCCUUGCUAUUUAAAAUGGGUAAUACAAUAUAAGAGC